UGGGGAAUAUUGCGCAAUGGGGGAAACCCUGACGCAGCGACGCCGCGUGCGGGAUGAAGGCCUUCGGGUUGUAAACCGCUUUUGAUUGGGAGCAAGCCUUUUGGGUGAGUGUACCUUUCGAAUAAGCGCCGGCUAACUACGUGCCAGCAGCCGCGGUAAUACGUAGGUGGCAAGCGUUGUCCGGAAUUAUUGGGCGUAAAGCGCGCGCAGGCGGACUAGCCAGUCAGUCUUAAAAGUUCGGGGCUUAACCCCGUGAUGGGAUUGAAACUACUAGUCUAGAGUAUCGGAGAGGAAAGUGGAAUUCCUAGUGUAGCGGUGAAAUGCGUAGAUAUUAGGAAGAACACCAGUGGCGAAGGCGACUUUCUGGACGAACACUGACGCUGAGGCGCGAAAGCCAGGGGAGCGAACGGG
rnacentral:rRNA from 1 species